CAGCACAACAGACCUGAAAACCAUGAAUUAGAGAAAAAGAAGUCAAGCCCCUCAGACUGAAUGAUCACGCAUGCGUCUAUUAUGUGAUUAUGGUGACUGGCGUUCCUGCGUUUCCUGAAGAUUAGCUGAAUUGAAGCACCUGGCUCUCCCGAUUCAAACUGGCUCUCACUUCAGCUCUAUCUGGCUUUUAAACUCAUUCACCCUCCACUUCUUCAUCGACUCAGCCCACUUAGUCCUCUUAGUGCUUGUGUCAGGAUACGGGACAUUUCUCCACCAAAACAAGUGGAGCCACUCGUCCGUGUCCAGCAUCGCCCUGAUGUGCGCAGCGGCAAAUGCGGAACACGGUGAGCCCGACUUUAUCCUCAGGUUCACUCAUGCAACCGAAAGCACUUGCAGGUUCCCGCGAUGUUGAAUAAUGUGGAGCAGCGUUCUCCGAGCGCCAGACAGCACUGAGCUCCGGGAUGAGGUGUUAACGAUCGAGGCCGGGUUGUUUGCAGAGAAAAGUCUGCAGCCUACGCACCGUCAUACACCUGUGUUCCACUCCCACUGUCCACAGCCUCUUCCGGCAGAGUGAGAGGAGAGCUUUAGUGGUUUUCAGGGCGACGACACCCUUCCAGUGAUCGACUGUCUCUGUAACUGUUAGGCUGCGUCUCUGUAAUGAGCCUAAUAGGCCAGGAGUGACAGGGAGGACGAGACAACUGCAGGUGGGAGAAUCACAUCAACAUGCAGCCGGAAAGAGAAGUUAAAAGGAAAUCCUCUGGCUGAAUAUGGUCAUUUACCAAGAAAAGAACAAUUUCUAUGGCGUGAACGAGGUCUUUCACGUGGGCACACAAAGGCUGAACAUGCACUGAUCACCCACAGCGAAAUAUCAAAUGGUGACACGCCGAAGUGGCAGCAGCAGUUGCAGCAGAUGAAGGCCACUUAUGAAUCACACAAACGGUGGGGGUGGAAAAGCUUUCAGGUAGCCUGCGAUAACACACAGCUAGCGACCGUGUUUAUCAGAUUCAGGCCGGCGGGCUGGGGUCAGG